GAAUGAAGGAAGCAUGGUAAUGUGCACGGAGAAUGAACUUUUUAAGGGUCAUGAUGUCUGCUGACUCCGAUGCCCCUCGGCUUUGAUUUGGGGGCCUGGAUCCGACCCACAUCU